UACGUAGGGGGCGAGCGUUGUCCGGAUUUAUUGGGCGUAAAGAGCUCGUAGGUGGCUAUCAAAGUCGGGUGUGAAAUCCCAAGGCUCAACCUUGGGUCUGCAUUCGAUACUGGGUGGCUUGAGUCUGGUAGGGGGACCUGGAAUUCCUGGUGUAGCGGUGGAAUGCGCAGAUAUCAGGAGGAACACCGGUGGCGAAGGCGGGGCCUGGGCCAGUACUGACGCUGAGGAGCGAAAGCGUGGGGAGCAAACAGG
rnacentral:rRNA from 1 species